rnacentral:rRNA from 1 species
CCUACGGGGGGCAGCAGUGAGGAAUAUUGGUCAAUGGACGAGAGUCUGAACCAGCCAAGUAGCGUGAAGGAUGACUGCCCUAUGGGUUGUAAACUUCUUUUAUAAAGGAAUAAAACGAGGCACGUGUGCCUUUUUGCAUGUACUUUAUGAAUAAGGAUCGGCUAACUCCGUGCCAGCAGCCGCGGUAAUACGGAGGAUCCGAGCGUUAUCCGGAUUUAUUGGGUUUAAAGGGAGCGUAGAUGGGUUGAUAAGUCAGUGGUGAAAGGUUGCGGCUCAACCGUAAAAUUGCAAUUGAUACUGGCAGUCUUGAGUACAGUUGAGGUAGGCGGAAUUCGUGGUGUAGCGGUGAAAUGCUUAGAGAUCACGCAGAACACCGAUUGCGAAGGCAGCUUACUAAACUGUGACUGACAUUGAUGCUCGAAAGUGUGGGUAUCAAACAGGAUUAGAUACCCGGGUAGUC